rnacentral:rRNA from 1 species
CCUACGGGAGGCAGCAGUGGGGAAUAUUGGACAAUGGGGGCAACCCUGAUCCAGCCAUGCCGCGUGAGUGAUGACGGCCUUAGGGUUGUAAAGCUCUUUUCUCCGGGACGAUAAUGACGGUACCGGAGGAACUAAGCCCCGGCUAACUUCGUGCCAGCAGCCGCGGUAAGUACGAAGGGGGCUAGCGUUGCUCGGAAUCACUGGGCGUAAAGGGCGCGUAGGCGGUUUUUUAAGUCGGGGGUGAAAGCCUGUGGCUCAACCACAGAAUGGCCUUCGAUACUGGAAGACUUGAGACCGGAAGAGGACAGCGGAACUGCGAGUGUAGAGGUGAAAUUCGUAGAUAUUCGCAAGAACACCAGUGGCGAAGGCGGCUGUCUGGUCCGGUUCUGACGCUGAGGCGCGAAAGCGUGGGGAGCAAACAGGAUUAGAUACCCUGGUAGUCCACGCUGUAAACGAUGAAUGCUAGCCGUAGGGGUGNAUNNCUCUGUGGCGCCGCACGCAUAAGUANAUCCGUCCGUCGGGNGGUACGGUCGGCGAGAAUUAAACUUAACAAAUAGAAUUAGACGGCGUGAGACGUGCCGACGGACGACGACGAGGGAGGUAGG